CUUGGUGAUUAUAGCACAGGUGACACACCCGACCCCAUACCGAACUCGUAAGUGAAACCCUGUUGCGCUGAUGGUACUGCAUCUUAAGAUGUGGGAGAGUAAGUCGUUGCCAGGC
rfam:Rickettsiales bacterium Ac37b, complete genome.